rnacentral:tRNA from 1 species
GGACUGGUAGCUCAGGGGAUAGAGCAUCCGCCUUCUAAGCGGGAGGUCGUAGGUUCGAUUCCUACCCAGUCCG